AGGGUUCGAUUCUGGCUCAGAACGUACGCUGGCGGCACGCCUUAUACAUGCAAGUCGAACGCAGUAGCAAUACUGAGUGGCAAACGGGUGAGUAUAAUGUGGGUAUCUGCCUUUUGGUUUGGAAUAACAUGAGGAAACUUGUGCUAAUACCGGAUAAGCCUUCACAGGGAAAGUUUUAUACGCCGAAAGAUGAGCCCGCACUUGAUUAGUUUGUUGGUGAGGUAAUGGCUCACCAAGACAAUUAUCAAUAGCUGGUCUGAGAGGACGAUCAGCCACAUUGGGACUGAGACACGGCCCAGACUCCUACGGGAGGCAGCAGUAAGGAAUCUUGCACAAUGGGGGAAACCCUGAUGCAGCGAUGCCGCGUGAGUGAAGAAGGCCCUUGGGUUGUAAAACUCUUUCGUCGGGGAAGAAAAUGACUGUACCCGAAUAAGAAGGUCCGGCUAACUUCGUGCCAGCAGCCGCGGUAAUAC
rnacentral:rRNA from 1 species